GAAAUGCGAUAAGUAAUGUGAAUUGCAGAAUUCAGUGAAUCAUCGAAUCUUUGAACGCACAUUGCGCCCUUUGGCAUUCCGAAGGGCAUGCCUGUCCGAGCGUCAUUUCAACCAUCAAGCCCCCGGGCUUGUGUUGGGGACCUGCGGCUGCCCGCAGGCCCUGAAAACCAGUGGCGGGCUCGCUGUCACACCGAGCGUAGUAGCAAUCACCUCGCUCAGGGCGUGCUGCGGGCUCCGGCCGUUAAACAGCCUUACAAAACCCAAGGUUGACCUCGGAUCAGGUAGGAAGACCCGCUGAACUUAAGC
rnacentral:misc_RNA from 1 species